CUGCUAUGAUGAAGAGAAUUUCCUGACCUGGUAUCACCUGAAGUGCUACAACAUUGUAACAUGAUCGGUGUUGACCAGGGUAUGACCUGUAUAAAUCUUCUCUCUGAGCAG